rnacentral:rRNA from 1 species
AGCGAACGCUGGCGGCAGGCCUAACACAUGCAAGUCGAGCGGCCGUAGCAAUACGGCAGCGGCAGACGGGAGAGUAACACGUGGGAACACGCCCUUCGGUCUGGAAUAACCCAGGGAAACUUGGGCUAAUACCGGAUACGCCCUUACGGGGCAAGAUUUAUUGCCGAAGGAACGGCCCGCGUCCGAUUAGCUAGUUGGUGAGGUAACGGCUCACCAAGGCGACGAUCGGUAGCUGGUCUGAGAGGAUGACCAGCCUCACUGGGACUGAGACACGGCCCAGACUCCUACGGGAGGCAGCAGUGGGGAAUAUUGGACAAUGGGCGCAAGCCUGAUCCAGCCAUGCCGCGUGGGUGAUGAAGGCCCUAGGGUUGUAAAGCCCUUUCAGCGGGGAAGAUAAUGACGGUACCCGCAGAAGAAGCCCCGGCUAACUUCGUGCCAGCCGCCGCAGUAAAAC